rnacentral:tRNA from 1 species
AAAGAUUUAGUUAAAACAUAACACCAAUUUGUCAAAUUGAAAUUAAUAAAACUUUAUUAUUCUUUA